CUAGAAAUGAAUGAUUUUUAUUUCUUUAUCUGAAGAACCAAGGGAUUAAUACUGACACUCAAUAUUUUGUCUUCAUAGGUUUAAUCAUACUUCUAAAUAUUUUAUCCUCGACAGAUAUAAAGCAGACAGAACAAUCUAAAGCCACAUAGUAAUGGUUCCAUAGAGCACUGCUUCAACUUAAAGGCAAACUCUGAGAGGUAGGUUAAGAGAUGAAAAGAGUAGGAGAGUCUCUUUUCUCAAUUAAAUGAGAAGUCACUUUAAUUGAACCUCAAACAGUUGUGUUUUUAUUUAUAGCACUUUACAAAUAUAAUGCAAAUUUAUCAGUUGUACUAUGUGAAUGAUUUUGGAAUUUUAUCUCAUGCCACAGCAUAUGUUACAUAACAGCCAAAUGGAAAAUGUACCUCAAAAGGGGGGAAAUGAGGGCUUUCACAUAAAUUGACUGUCCAUAAC
rnacentral:lncRNA from 1 species